rnacentral:rRNA from 1 species
UACAGAGGGUGCGAGCGUUAAUCGGAAUUACUGGGCGUAAAGCGUGCGUAGACGGUUAUUUAAGUCGGAUGUGAAAGCCCCGGGCUCAACCUGGGAAUUGCAUUCGAGACUGAAUAGCUAGGGUACGGUAGAGGGAAGUGGAAUUCCGGGUGUAGUGGUGAAAUGCGUAGAGAUCCGGAGGAACACCAGUGGCGAAGGCGACACGCUGGGCCGUACCUGACGCUAAAGCGCGACAGCAUGGGGAGCAAACGGG